rnacentral:siRNA from 1 species
GCUCAGCCGGAGGUAGGGUCCA